rnacentral:rRNA from 1 species
AUUAACGCUAGCGGCAGGCAUAAUACAUGCAAGUUGAACGGCAGCACAGGUAGCAAUACCGGGUGGCGAGUGGCGCACGGGUGCGUAACACGUAUGCAACCUACCCUAUACAGGCGAAUAACCUUUAGAAAUGAGGGCUAAUACGCCGUGGUAUUAUCUUGGGGCAUCUUGAGAUAAUUAAAGAUUCAUCGGUAUAGGAUGGGCAUGCGUCCCAUUAGUUAGUUGGUAGGGUAACGGCCUACCAAGGCUAUGAUGGGUAGGGG